CUUGAUAAAUAUGCAGACAAAUUUUCUUCCAUGCCAUACCGUUGAGCUUCGUCUGCAUCGGCACAACACUAUCCAUCACCGAAGCAGGCAUAAUAGAAAUACAGGUAAGAAUGGUUAUCGAUAAGUUUGGUAUACCAGCUAUUCACAAUUCAUGGUAUGAUGCAAGCCAAAUCGCUGAUCAUGUUCUACAAGGUUACACAAAGCCAUUGAGGUGUAAAGGUUGGGAAAUGGCUCUUUUGGAGUACACAAUAGCCAUGCUUACAGAUUCUGCAUCGAAAUCAAAGCCAUCACUAACUAGAAGACUUGCUGAGAUCUCAUGCCCUUGCAAUUAGGGUAAAGGGAGCUUAGAGUGAGUGUGAAUGAGGGAGCUUUCAUUUUCACUUGGCAGGGUUUUAGAUUUCUCAUCCUCAUCGAAGGCAUCACCUUAGCUGCUUAAGGCCUGUGAUUUUGGUCUCUCCAUGUUAGAGCACAUCACUUUUUUAAUCAUCAAAGUCAACUGAUGGAACGCCGGAAUGGAUGGCACCAGAGUUGUUGUGCAAUGAACCAUCAAAUGAGAAGUGAGGUCUGGUAUGAACCCAAUGUAGGUGGUGGUGCUAUUGGAUUCCAGUAUCGUCAUCUUUAGAUUCCAAGAGAGGUUGCCAAAAUAAUCUGGCAGUGCUGGCAAAAAGAUCCAAACUUGCGGCCUUUCUCUGCGGAUCUCACAAUAGCUCUCAAGUCUUUAUAGCGGCUUGUUGUCCCUGCUUAUCAGGAUACACAAAACCCACCUUUGGCCAAAGAAAUACAAGUAAACACAAUGCCUUGAACAUACUAAAUGGUAAACAAGCUAAGAGUAUUCAUCCGUUUAUUGCUUUUUGUAGUGUUUAUUAGUGCCCUUAAAUCAGGAGAUGUGAAGUGAAAUGCUAGUUUAGUUUGGCUUUUGGGCAAGAGCAAAAAGUAAUGCCCAAUUGGCCUGUGCAUAUGUUUUCCUUUUGGAGACUAUACAGGAAUGCUCUUUAUGUCUAUUUAGUAUAUAUUAGCUUGUAGGAGAUUCUUAGGGUGUUUUCUUUGCUUUGUGCCCAAUUGAAAACCAAGGACGUUUUAUAGACGAAAAUGGGAAGACCCUAUGGCUGAUUGUGAGGAAAGGGAGUGACACCCGGGUUAAGUGUAACUAAGAUGUGUUUUCUUUGUUUUGUCUCAGGAAUCUUUAAAAACUAGAUUCCAUUUCCUGAUUGAAUGAAUGAAUGAAUGGAGGAAAUGAAAAAAAGAAUAUGACAUUGCUAUAUAGGUGCCUGCAGUACAGUUGUUGGAAUUAUAUCUAUAUAUAUGAAAGUGUUAAUGUUCUUGCUGUGCCAUUUGAUUUGUGAAUAUUUUCAUCUAACAAUGGUUUCUAUUAAGCUCCAUGCAAACUUAUGCACUAUCUACUCUUUCAUUGUUGUGUUUUGUCAAAAUGUUUGUACCUUCAGGUCUUCAAGGAAAAUUAGAAACAGGAAAAUCUGCCAAGCAAUGGAAGUGUCUCGUAAAUUUAUCAUCUAUCAAAAAAAGCGACAGUGUUACAAAUGAAAAACACCAGGUAAAUGGUUAAAUAAAGAUUUGGAGAACGGAGGCCACAUUUGACAACAUGGAGCUGUUUGAUUAUGUAACUAAAUAAAUCAUUCUUUAAUGAUUGGACAAGUGAUGAACUGUUUAAGAAAAACUACUCAAUAUGUGAUGAGCGA